UAGCAUAUUGGUGGCCUCUAUGCUAUAGAAGGAAUCACCUUGUCUGCUUGCUGCUGCUAUUUAUAUCCCAGCAGCUUUUGUAUCUGACACCAGUGAUCUCUGCUCAGGAAGUCUUCUAGUUUCUUUUAAUUCACAACUGAAUCUCUACAAUUCAAAGGCUUCUUUAUUAAACCUCCUCGUUCCACCGACGUUCCCCUACCCCUCCUGGUUUCUAUAUGGUCACUCCAUCUUGGUCCCAUAAUUUUUGGGGGUGACCUCUUGUGGUGUUGAGCGGGGUGUUUCACAGUAUGUGGACAGCUGUUUUUUCUGCCUGGGAUGGAAGCUAUCCUUAUUAGACCGCCUGAUACUGCCGCUUGGACUGCAGCACAUCAUUGAGACACAUCAUCAAGGUAAAGGAAUUAAUAAUUAAAAACUAAAAAUUAAAAAUUAAAAAAUGUAUUUAAGAUACUUUUGUUUGCAAUGUUGCACACGAAUUUGCUUAAUUUUUUGACUUUUUGCUUUCAUUACAUCCUUUUGCACACUGCUCCUCUAGCCAAAGGGCUUUUUGUAAAACCAACAAUGUAUCUCUUAUUACCUAAACUAUGAUCAUGAGAUGUUUAACCACUAUAUGUUCCUUUCCAGCCACACAAACUCUCUGAAGAAGACCUUCAAAGGUCGAAACGUUCGUUAGAUUGUUUUUACUACAAUGCACAUUUUUGACUGUAUAAACAUUGUUUGUGUACUGCUUGUUAUACAUUUAUGUAAACGCUGUUUGUGUACUUGAUACAACUCAUGCUUCAUCCAUUUAUGCUACCCAAUUUUUGUCCACUUUUUAAUAUGUGAAUAAACACAACUUUUUUAUUA